rnacentral:rRNA from 1 species
GUGGGGAAUCUUGCGCAAUGGGCGAAAGCCUGACGCAGCCAUGCCGCGUGAAUGAUGAAGGUCUUAGGAUUGUAAAAUUCUUUCACCGGGGACGAUAAUGACGGUACCCGGAGAAGAAGCCCCGGCUAACUUCGUGCCAGCAGCCGCGGUAAUACGAAGGGGGCUAGCGUUGCUCGGAAUUACUGGGCGUAAAGGGCGCGUAGGCGGACAGUUUAGUCAGAGGUGAAAGCCCAGGGCUCAACCUUGGAAUUGCCUUUGAUACUGGCUGUCUUGAGUACGGGAGAGGGGAGUGGAACUCCGAGUGUAGAGGUGAAAUUCGUAGAUAUUCGGAAGAACACCAGUGGCGAAGGCGACUCACUGGCCCGUUACUGACGCUGAGGUGCGAAAGCGUGGGGAGCAAACAGGAUUAGAAACCCGAGUAGUCC